rnacentral:rRNA from 1 species
UAGGGAAUCUUCGGCAAUGGGGGGAACCCUGACCGAGCAACGCCGCGUGAGUGAAGAAGGUUUUCGGAUCGUAAAGCUCUGUUGUUAAGGAAGAACGAGUGUGAGAAUGGAAAGUUCAUACUGUGACGGUACUUAACCAGAAAGGGACGGCUAACUACGUGCCAGCAGCCGCGGUAAUACGUAGGUCCCGAGCGUUGUCCGGAUUUAUUGGGCGUAAAGCGAGCGCAGGCGGUUAGAUAAGUCUGAAGUUAAAGGCAGUGGCUCAACCAUUGUAGGCUUUGGAAACUGUUUAACUUGAGUGCAGAAGGGGAGAGUGGAAUUCCAUGUGUAGCGGUGAAAUGCGUAGAUAUAUGGAGGAGCACCGGUGGCGAAAGCGGCUCUCUGGUCUGUAACUGACGCUGAGGCUCGAAAGCGUGGGGAGCGAACAGG